CAUCAUGAUUUACAUUUGAGUGAGUGGCGAACUGGUGAGUAACACGUGGGAAACCUGCCCAGAAGCGGGGGAUAACACCUGGAAACAGAUGCUAAUACCGCAUAACAACUUGGACCGCAUGGUCCGAGUUUGAAAGAUGGCUUCGGCUAUCACUUUUGGAUGGUCCCGCGGCGUAUUAGCUAGAUGGUGGGGUAACGGCUCACCAUGGCAAUGAUACGUAGCCGACCUGAGAGGGUAAUCGGCCACAUUGGGACUGAGACACGGCCCAAACUCCUACGGGAGGCAGCAGUAGGGAAUCUUCCACAAUGGACGAAAGUCUGAUGGAGCAACGCCGCGUGAGUGAAGAAGGGUUUCGGCUCGUAAAACUCUGUUGUUAAAGAAGAACAUAUCUGAGAGUAACUGUUCAGGUAUUGACGGUAUUUAACCAGAAAGCCACGGCUAACUACGUGCCAGCAGCCGCGGUAAUACGUAGGUGGCAAGCGUUGUCCGGAUUUAUUGGGCGUAAAGCGAGCGCAGGCGGUUUUUUAAGUCUGAUGUGAAAGCCUUCGGCUCAACCGAAGAAGUGCAUCGGAGACUGGGAAACUUGAGUGCAGAAGAGGACAGUGGAACUCCAUGUGUAGCGGUGAAAUGCGUAGAUAUAUGGAAGAACACCAGUGGCGAAGGCGGCUGUCUGGUCUGUAACUGACGCUGAGGCUCGAAAGUAUGGGUAGCAAACAGGAUUAGAUACCCUGGUAGUCCAUACCGUAAACGAUGAAUGCUAAGUGUUGGAGGGUUUCCGCCCUUCAGUGCUGCAGCUAACGCAUUAA
rnacentral:rRNA from 1 species